rnacentral:rRNA from 1 species
GGUUAAGCGACUAAGCGUACACGGUGGAUGCCUAGGCAAUCAGAGGCGAUGAAGGACGUGCUAAUCUGCGAUAAGCGUCGGUAAGGUGAUAUGAACCGUUACAACCGACGAUUUCCGAAUGGGGAAACCCAGUGCAAUUCGUUGCACUAUCGUUUGAUGAAUACAUAGUCAAACGAAGCGAACCGGGGGAACUGAAACAUCUCAGUACCCCGAGGAAAAGAAAUCAACCGAGAUUCCCCUAGUAGCGGCGAGCGAACGGGGAGCAGCCCAGAGUCUUAAUCAGCAUUAGCAUCAGGAGAACGGUCUGGAAAGUCCGGCAGUAAAGGGUGAUAGCCCCGUAUCCGAAGGUGUUAGUGUUGUGAACUCGACGAGUAGGGCGGGACACGUGUUAUCCUGUCUGAAUAUGGGGGGACCAUCCUCCAAGGCUAAAUACUCCUGAUUGACCGAUAGUGAACCAGUACCGUGAGGGAAAGGCGAAAAGAACCCCGGCGAGGGGAGUGAAAUAGAACCUGAAACCGUGUACGUACAAGCAGUGGGAGCCCCACCACCAAAGCAUUUUCUGGUGUUGAGGACAACUUUGAAGUGGCAUUCAACACGCGUUGACGGAGCGCUUUUUGCGACGUCCAACACACAAAACAAGCAGUGAAUGUGCUUUGGGGUGGGGUGACUGCGUACCUUUUGUAUAAUGGGUCAGCGACUUAUAUUCUGUAGCAAGGUUAACCGUAUAGGGGAGCCGUAGGGAAACCGAGUCUUAACUGGGCGAAUGAGUUGCAGGGUAUAGACCCGAAACCCGGUGAUCUAGCCAUGGGCAGGUUGAAGGUUGGGUAACACUAACUGGAGGACCGAACCGACUAAUGUUGAAAAAUUAGCGGAUGACUUGUGGCUGGGGGUGAAAGGCCAAUCAAACCGGGAGAUAGCUGGUUCUCCCCGAAAGCUAUUUAGGUAGCGCCUCGUGAACUCAUCUUCGGGGGUAGAGCACUGUUUCGACUAGGGGGUCAUCCCGACUUACCAACUCGAUGCAAACUACGAAUACCGAAGAAUGUUAUCACGGGAGACACACGGCGGGUGCUAACGUUCGUCGUGAAGAGGGAAACAACCCAGACCGCCAGCUAAGGUCCCAAAGUCAUAGUUAAGUGGGAAACGAAGUGGGAAGGCUCAGACAGCCAGGAUGUUGGCUUAGAAGCAGCCAUCAUUUAAAGAAAGCGUAAUAGCUCACUGGUCGAGUCGGCCUGCGCGGAAGAUGUAACGGGGCUAAACUAUGCACCGAAGCUGCGGCAGCGA